UGAUCUGCCCCUCGCAGCUGGAAGUAAGCGACUGGAAACGGUACGAUAAUACCGGAUACGCCCUUCGUUGACGAUGAGGGAAAGGAGACCUCUGCUUGCAAGUUUCCGUGCAGGGAUGAGUCCGCGUCCCAUUAGCUUGUUGGCGGGGUAACGGCCCACCAAGGCGACGAUGGGUAGCCGAUUUGAGAGGAUGAUCGGCCACAUUGGAACUGAAACACGGUCCAAACUCCUACGGGAGGCAGCAGUGGGGAAUAUUGCGCAAUGGGCGAAAGCCUGACGCAGCGACGCCGCGUGAGGGAUGAAGGUCCUUCGGAUCGUAAACCUCUGUCGGAAGGGAAAAAGGUGCAGGGUGCCAAUCAGCCCUGCAUUGAUGGUACCUUCAGAGGAAGCACCGGCUAACUCCGUGCCAGCAGCCGC
rnacentral:rRNA from 1 species